rnacentral:lncRNA from 1 species
AACAGCCUAUGCGUUUGGCAAGUGCUAUUUUACCAUAGUUUUGACUCAUUGCACCAAUCUCAGCUACAAUCAAUAAGACUUUCUGCCACUGUAAGUAGGAAGUUAAUUUUUUUGUUCUAUUUUUUCUGCAGGGAUUUUCGUCUGUUUUUCUAAUAGUAUAUAUGAUAUUUCAGUCACAGUUCCAGUAUUUUAGAACUAAAGCUCCCCCCUAAUUAAAAUGCAGAAACGUGUUUUCUUUCAUGAUGUCUCAGUCACUGUCUUAGAAACACCAUUAAAGAUAUUUUUCAGCAUGUGUUCUCCACCAAAUCAUAAUAUCAAAACUUUCCUCAGUGCUUUCGAAAUUUCCCUCCAAAUACAUGUACAGCUCUGACUUUGGUAGCAUGUAGGACCUCCUUCUUAACUUGUAUUGAGCAAACUAUCCUUCCUUCUUUCCUUCUGUCCAAAAUAACAACACGUUCAAACCUGCAUGUGAUGGACAUAAUAAAAGGUUCAGAACAAUAUGACCGCUCGAUUAAGAAUAGUAUGCAAGAACUUAAACAGUUGUAUGCUCCCAAUUAAGCAUAGAUGCAAUAAUAGUUCAACAAUAAUCAAAUAUGCUUGCACUCAUAAACAGAACGAUUUAUUUAUAAAGAUGUAAGUACAUAUAGGCUGAUGAUAAUUUGUACAUCACAUCAUCUGAAAGAAUAAAAAUGCAGAAGGGGAAGGAGAGAGAAAUUGGCACUUCAUCACUUCGCGAUGUAUUGUAUCUUAUUUAAUAUUUUCGUCAUGGCAAACAAACAACCAAACUGAUGUUAUAGUUUCUGAAUUCACAAUGGAUACAUGGCAGCUGCUACAUGCAAAUAAGUGAAAGAUGUGCACUUCAGAAGAAAAAAAUUGAUGUUAUAGUUUCUGAAUUCAUAAUGGAUGUCCUAUGUCUUGCACUUCAUAAAUAGGUAAUUAUAAAUGAUUAGAUUUACUAGGGAUUUCACAUUUGGUGAUCCAUUAAGUGAGCUUUUGACGCCAUCGUGCAUCACGUGUGGUUUUGGUUCGAUUCUAACCAAUUGCAUUUUGCUACAUGGAACUUACAAGAAGUACAAGGACCAGGGGAUGAUCUAUCUGCAUAUGAUUAGUCCUUGAUUUUGAGUUACGAUAUGUUAUGCUAACAAUUUUAUGGCACUACAGGUUUUGAGAUCUUUGAUUUCCCAUGCAACCAGUUUGAUGGGCAGGAACUUGGCAUUGAUAAGGAAAUUGUUCAGAUUGCUUGCACUCGUUUCCAUGCCGAGUAUCUGAUUUCUGACAAGGUAAAUGUGUGCCUGAUACUUCCUCCUUUUUUGGUGUCUCUGUUUCAAGCUGAAAGAAACGAUUGCUUUAGUGUAAAAUGUACACUAUGACUGCUUCCAUAACAGUUACUAUAUUUAACUGAGGAAAACCGAUUCAGCAUGUCUUAUCUAUUCAUUGCUACUUUGUAUGUGCCUUAUGAUAUGUCCUCGUAUAUGUCUGGACUGAAAUAUGAGUGUCUUGGUCCUUCUUAUAUUAUUUUUUUAUGAUCUCAGUCAGCCUCUUUUGCACAAAUUGUGUCGAGGACCAAUGCUAGUAUGUUGAUUUUGAUGUCAUUUGAUUUGUGAGUAAAUAGAAGUUAACCUGAUUAUGUGGUUGCAUGAUUUGCCUGAUUCUGUGUUUCUUUUGGGCUUUAUAAUUUUCUAUGCACUUGUCAAAUCUAUAUGCAUUGUUAUAUAACUAUUCUCUGCGCUUUUCACUACUAGGAAAUAGCUUAUAGCUUCAGUUGUGCAUUACGGCUUAAAUAAGAAUCUCUAGAAAAAAUGUUGCACAUUGGCAUCUACAUGUACCGCAUUGUUUUUUCGUGCCAUUCUUCUAAAGAAUCUGAAGUUUCUGAACCUUUGUUUGUAAUGCUGCAGGGUUCUGGUGGCGACGAUGACGGUCGUCGAGAGGUUCGUGGACUGGACGAUGUAGGCCGGGCAGGCGCCGCACAUUGAUGAGUAGUCCAAUUUACGGAUCGGGCCAUAACAACUUACGUAGGUAGUUGCUUAUGUAACUGUGCGAUAUAAUGGAAUUAUACAUGAGUUGCUGCUACAAUGAGGAACGUAGUUGCUUAUCUAAUUGUGCGAUGGAAUGGAAUUAUACAUGAGUUGCUGCUACAAUGAGUAACUAGAGAAGAUACGACAACUGUGUGAUAGAAUGAAUUUGGUUGAUUUUAUUUUUUUUUAAUUCCUAAUAAGUUAGUAGUGGCGUGGGGAUAAAAUGGCGCGCUACUAGUAUUUAGGAUACUAGUAGCGUUGGCACUAUAAACACGCUACUACUAUUUCAUUAGUAGUAGCGCGGGUCCAUAAUAGCAGUAGCGCAGGUUGAACCCACGCUAGUACUAACAAAGUUAGUAGUAGCGAGGGUUCGACCCACGCUACUGUUAACUUUUAGCUGUAGCGCGAUACUAGUAGCGCAGGUACCCGCGCUACUAGUAGCCAUUUUACCCGCGCUGCUAGUAGCCUUUUCCCUAGUAGUGACGUAUGACUAUUUACGGAAUAUAUGCCUACAUUACAUUGAUGAACUGGAGCUAGUUCUGUGUCACCCUAUGUUAUAGCUAUUGCAUGAGGAAUCACAUCCGGCAUAAUUAUCCAUCACUGGUCCAUUGCGUACGAGCUUUUCAUAUAUUGAUCUUCGCUUAUUUACUUUUCCGUUGCUACUGUUACAAUUACUACAAAAACCCAAAACUAUUAUCUUUACCUUUGCCACUGUUACCUUUAUUAUCAUACCACAUUUGCUACUAAAUACUUUGCUGCAGAUACUAAGUUAUCCAGGUGUGGUUGAAUUGACAACUCAACUGCUAAUACUCAAGAAUAUUCUUUGGCUCCCCUUGUGUCGAAUCAAUAAAUUUGGGUUGUACUUCACCCUCGAAAGCUGUUGCGAUCCCCUACACUUGUGGGUCAUCAAGACUAAUUUCUGGCGCCGUUGCCGAGGAGCAUAGCUUUAUUCUCUAAGUCACUUGGGAUUUAUAUCUGUUGAUCACUAUGAAGAACUUGAAAGACGCUAAAACCAAGAUCUAUCUCUCUACUACGAGGGGAGGUAAGGAACUGCCAUCUAGCUCUGCACUAGAUUCUCCUUUUGUUAUGAGUAAGCUUGCGACACCAAAACCUGCUACUGCUAUGAAUUCUGAUAUGUCGCAUGUUAUCGAUGAUGCCACUUCUACUAUGCAUGAUGAAACUACUUCUGUGCGUGAUACUACUUUGCCGUUAGGUAAAUUUCUUGAUGAACAACUUGCUAGAUUUAGGGGGAAUGAAAAUAUUGAAGAUGCUAUUAUUGAUGAUAGUGAUGAUGAAAGUUCUCCCAAUGAUUAUGUAUUGCCUGUUGUUCCUAAGGGUUAUGUUAUGAAUGAAGAAGCUGCUAGAGCUAUCCUUGCUUGCAAUGAUAGAUAUGAUCUUAAGAAAUUAUUAGCUAAAUGGAAGCAGCAGUCUCUUAAUGCUAGUAUGAAAUCUGACCCUGCUUUUGCUACUUCACAUAUCUGUGUUACUGAUAAGGAUUAUGAAUUCUCUGUUGAUCCUGAGAUUAUUACUCUAGUUCAAUCUGAUCCUUUUUAUGGCCUUGAAUCUGAAACUUUUGUGGCACAUCCUACCAAGUUGAAUGAUAUAGCUACCCUAUUUACUCAUGAUGAAAGAUCUCGCUAUUUUUAUAUCCUUAAGAUAUUUCCGUUCUUAUUAAAGGGUGAUGCUAAGACUUGGUAUAAUUCUCUUGCUCCUGGUUGUGUGCGUAGUCCUCAGGAUAUGAUUUAUUACUUCUCUGCUAAAUAUUUCCCUGCUCAUAAGAAACAAGCUGGCUUAUGGGAAAUAUAUAAUUUUGUGCAAAUCAAAGAAGAGAGUCUCCCACAAGCUUGGGGGAGGCUUCUCUGGUUACUUAAUGCUUUGCCUGAUCAUCCUCUCAAGAAAAAUAAAAUACUUGAUAUAUUUUAUAAUGGACUAACCGAUGCUUCCAAGGACUACUUGGAUAGUUGUGCUGGUUGUGUUUUCAGGGAAAGAAUAGCCAACGAAGCUGAAUUACUGUUGAAUAAUAUGUUGACUAAUGAAAAUAAUUGGACUCUUCCUGAGCUAAUUUCUGAGAUAAUUCCUGAACCAAUUGAGCCAACUCCUUAGCCUAUUCCUAAACCCCAUCCGAAGAAGAGAGGUGUUUUAUUUCUCGGUCCUGAAGAUAUGCAAGAGGCAAAGAAAUCAAUGAAAGAAAAAGGUAUUAAAGCCGAAGAUGUUAAGAAUUUACCACCUAUUGAAGAAAUACAUGGUCUUAAUAUACCGCCUAUUGAAGAACCACAUUGUCUUGAUAACCGACAAAGGUAGUAAAGGUAAAUUCUCUCUAUAGAUAUGAUAAAGUUGAAAUCCCCUCUAUGAAAUUUCAUAGCCCUUGCUUAGAUGAAUUUGAUGAAUUUAUGGCUAGAAAAGAAAGUUUUAAUGCUUAUAUUGGUAGAGAGUGAAAGAAUAAUGCUUUCGAGAUAGGACGCAUGAGCGAUAAUAUGGCUAGAGUUAAUGGUGAACUCCAACUCGUUAGCAAAUAUGCUUCUAUGGUUGCUACUCAAGCUGAGUAAGUACUCAAAGUUCAAAAUGAUUUGCUUGAGAAAUUAAAUAAUAAAAAUGACUUUGCUGUUAGAGUUAGAGUGGCUACUCGAAGUGGUAGAAUGACUCAGGAACCUUUGUAUCCUGAAGGCCACCCUAAGAGAAUCGAGCAAGAUUCUCAGAGAAAUAAUUUAGAGGCACCUAGUUCUUCUAAAAAGAAGAAAAAAAAACGAUAGAACUUUGCAUGCUUCUAGUGAACCUACUGUAGACACACCUGAGAAUCCCAAUGAUAUUUCUAUUUCUAUGCUGAAACACAAUCAGGUGAUGAACAUGAACCUAGUGAUAAUGUUAAUGAUAAUGUUCAUGUUGAUGCUCAACCUAGCAAAAACAAUGAAGUAGAGGUUGAACCUGCUGUUGAUCUUGAUAACCCACAAUCAAAGAAUCAAGGUUAUGAUAAGAGAGAUUUUUUUGCUAGGAAGCACGGUAGAGAAAGAGAACCAUGGGUUCAGAAACCCAUGCCCUUUCCUCCUAAACCAUCCAAGUCAAAGGAUGAUGAGGAUUUUGAGCACUUUGCUGAAAUGAUUAGACCUAUUUUCUUACGUAUGUGCUUACUGACAUGCUGAAAGUAAAUCCUUAUGCUAAGUAUAUGAAAGAUAUCGUUACAAACAAAAGAAAGAUACCGGAAGCUGAAAUUUCCACCAUGCUUGCUAAUUACACUUUUAAGGGUGGAAUACCAAAGAAACUUGGAGACCCGGGUGUACCAACUAUACCAUGCUCCAUUAAAAGAAAUUAUGUUAGAACUACUUUAUGUGAUCUUGGAGCCGGUGUUAGUGUUAUGCCUCUUUCUUUAUAUCAUAGACUUGAAUUGAAUAAGUUGACACCUAUUGAAAUCUCUUUGCAAAUGGCUGAUAAAUCAACUGCUAUACCUGUCGGUAUUUGUGAGGAUGUGCCUGUUGUGGUUGCAAAUGUCACUAUCUUAACGGACUUUAUUAUUCUUGAUAUUCCCGAGGACGAUAGUAUGUCUAUUAUCCUUGGUAGACCCUUUUUGAAUACUGCAGGGGCUGUUAUUGAUUACAAAAAGGCAAUGUCACCUUUCAUGUUAAUGGUAAUGAGCAUACGGUACACUUUCCGGGGAAACAACCUCAAGUUCAUAGCAUCAAUUCUAUUGAAAAAGUUCCAACUAUUAUUUUUGGAGGUUUUGAAUUUCCUCUCCCUACUAUAAAGAAAAAGUAUGAUAUUCUUAUUGUUGGGGAUUUUCACAUCCCCGUUGGGGUAACUUAGUGUUAUUCAAAAUUUCUCCGGUUCCGUGUUAUUCGGAAUGAGUUUGUUAACAAGACUUGAUCAACCUUGUUAGUGGAUUCAUUUUGAUGAUCAUGAGAUGGAUGAAACUAGAAGGCACAACAUUCUGUACCCUCUUUUUACUUUCUGUUAUUUCGAAUAAAUAAAGCAAAAAUAGUAUUAUCCGUCUGUUUUUUGAAUUAUCCGUGCAAUAAAAAAUAUCCCAAAAAUAAAAGUGCUCCAAAUGCCCUGCAAAUUUAGUAUGAUUUUUUCUAAAUUAUUUGAGGAUUUUAGGCACUGAAAACACUGCAGUAGGGGCAAGCACCAGGCCACGAGAGUGGAGGGCCCCCCCCUAUAGGGCACGCCCCCUAGCUCGUGGGCCCUUGGUGGCCCCCCUCCACUUAUGCCAUCACCCACACACUUCAUCUUCUACCCAAAAAAAAUCCCCAUCCAGCUCAAGUACGAGUUCUAGCUCAUUUUGCUGCAAUUUCAGAAAUUUUCAGAAAUAAAAUUAUGCUUAGAAGAAUGUACCAAGGUGGUUCUUCGGCAAAGAAAGGGCCAAGGAUUGCUAUACGUGAGCAAGAUGUUAAAUUGCCGAGGGACGCGGACGUACGAGCUUGUGAGUGGCCAUCCGAUGAUUUUAUGGUCAAAGCAGGCUUCAAGGAGGAAUUUGACGCGUAUGUGCGUAAUGCUGAGUUGGAGGACUUCUUACAAGAUAAGUGUCCUCAGUACUAUCAAUUGACUGAUUCCUCUGUGCGGAGGUUCAAAUAUAAUUGUGCGUGUAACUCUCCUGGUGUCAUAUUUGAUAUUUAUGAUACAUCUUACACCAUGGAUUUGGAGUAUUUCACAACUGCUUGCAAACUCCCGCAGUGGGGUAAUAUUAAUGAUCCUCACAAAUCUGAAUUUAGAGAAUUUCUUGCUAGUAUUACUAUGGGGGAAUCUGGGGACAUAGCACAAACUACCAUAGGGAGCAUUCAUUUUCCUGCUAUACAUUAUUUUGCUCUCUUCAUUGGUAGAUGUAUUAACGGUAAGGAUGAAGCCUGUCACAUCUGUGUCCCUGAGCUAUGUGUCCUCAAGAGUGCUAUGUUAGGUUAUAAAUGUUAUAACUUGGGGGCAAUAGUUGCACGUAGGUUGCAGAAUAAUAGUAGAAAGGGAAAUUUCUUUGGAGGAAUUUAUGCAACCCGUGUGGCUAAUUAUCUUGGUAUAGCCCCACGAGAGGAGAUAUGAUAAUACCUCAUGUUUAUUUGGAUUAUGAAGCUAUGGCCAGUCAUCAGUUUCUUGGGAGAAAUGAACAAUUCCUUCAAUAUCGACUAACCUAUGACAGAUGCAACGUCAUCCAUGUUACUCUUCCUGCUCCCUACCUUUUUGAUUAUCAGGCAAAAGGAAGAUAUGUUGUCACCACGGAGGAAGCAGCUGAACACAAGAGGAGAGCGGAGGCAGCUCGCCAACAUGCUGCAACUCAGGAGGCAGUUGACGCUGCAUCUCAGUACGACCCUGGUUUCACUUAUGGAUAUCAGCCAGGCGGUCCUUGGUAUUAGACCAACUUAGGCCAAAAGCCUAAGCUUGGGGGAGUACGUAUUUCUCACCGACUUUACAUUCAUGUUCACACACUAGUUGUCGGUGCUCAUACUCUUUCAUUGUAUUAUUCAUGCUAAUUUAAAUUUCUUUUUCUAGUUUUGUUCUUGUGUGUUUGAUAAACCUUAAGGAAAACUAAAAAAAUUAGUUAGUUCAAUUUUCAUGCUUGUAGUAGAAAUUAAAAUGAAAACCCAAAAAGAUUUCUAGUUCUUUUUCUUUCUUGUUGGGAGCUUUCCUGUGUAAAUAGUUUUAUUUUCUUUUCUUUUCUUUGGGGGUCGAGAAGACCAUAUUGAAAAUGUUUAGUGGCUCUCAUAUGCUUGAUUGUUUAUUUAACUUAAAGCCCAUAUUACAUGUCUUCUCUCUUGAGUUGAAUGCUUGCAGAUUCCAGCUUAGUCCAAUGCACGAGCACUCUUAUUAUUAUACUCAUCGUCCGUCGUGCAAGUGAAAGGCAAUAAUGACGAUAUAAGAUGGACAUAUUGGGAUGAGAAAAGUUGGUAUGAACUCGAUCUCUCUUGUUUUUGUAAAUAUGAUGAGUUCAUCGUUUCUGAGUCAGCUUAUUAUGAAGUAAACAUAUUUGUAGUGACAUUUAGAGAUUAUAGUCGCUUGUGCCAUGCUUGAUUAGCUUUGAGUUAUAAUGGUGUACCUUGCAUGCCAACAUGCUAUUAGAAUGAUUAUUAUGUGGUAUGAUGGGAUGGUAUCCUCCUUUGAAUGUAUUGAGUGACUCGACUUGGCACAUGUUCACGCAUAUAGUUGAAUCAAAUCAACAUAGCCUUCAUGAUAUAUGUUCAUGGUGGACUAUAUCCUACUCAUGCUUGUAUUCGGUGUGAAUUAAUUUUAAUGCAUGUUCAGGACUGGUGUCGCUCUCUCAAUUGGUCGCUUCCCAGUCUUUUCCUAGCCUUCACCUGUACUAAGCGGGAAUACUGCUUGUGCAUCCAAACUUCUUAAACCCCAAAGUUGUUCCAUAUGAGUCCACUAUACCUUCCCAUAUGCGGUAUUUAGCUGUCGUUCCAAGUAAAUUUGUAUGUGCCAAACUCCAAACCUUCAAAUUAAAUUCUGUUUUGUAUGCUUGAGCAGCUCAUGUUACAACUAGGGCUGCCUAUAUCUUCCAUGCUAGGUGGGUUAUUCUCAAGAGGAGUGAACUCCGCUCCUCAUUCACGAGAAAGGGCUGGUAACCGGGAUGCCCAGUCCCAUGAACCAAAAAAAUCAAAGAAAAACAAAAUAAUUAAACAAAACUCCCCCAGGGCUGUUGUUAGUUGGAGGCACUCGUUGUUUUGAGAAAGCCAUGGAUUGAUGCUUGUUGCUGGUUGGGGGAGUAUAAACCUUUACCAUUCUGUUUGGGAACUACCUAUAAUGCAUGUAGUAUGGAAGAUACAUCCAUCUCAUAGUUGUUGCAUUGACAGCAAAAGUAUGCCGCUGAAAAUAUUAUUCAAUAUCUAUUUUAAAAUCGAGCUCUGGCACCUCUACAAAUCCCUGCUUCCCUCGACGAAGGGCCUAUCUAUUUACUUUUAUGUUGAGUCAUCACCCUUCUUAUUAAAAAGCACCCGCUGGAGAGCACACUGCCAUUUGCAUUCAUUACUAUUGGUUUAUAUUGGGUAUGACUUGACUUGAUCUCUUUUACCAUGAAUUACAAUGUUUAGUCAGUCCUUGAUCUUUAAAGGUGCUCUGCAUUUAUGUUUUGCGGUCUCAGAAAGGGCUAGCGAGAUACCAUUUUGUUAUAUCAUGUUAUGAUUGUUUUGAGAAAGUAUUGUCAUCCGAGUUUUAUUAUUAUGGCUCGCUAGCUGAUUAUGCUAUUGAUAUGAGUAAUUGUGAGACCCAAGUGUUAUUGUGAGUAUGGUUAGUUCAUCAUAUUUGCUGAAACUUGAAUGCUGGCUUUUCAUGUUUAGAACAACAAGAGCAAACAGAGUUUGUAAAAGUUUUUCUUACUCACUUUCAGUUUAUCAACUGAAUUGCUUGAGGACAAGCAAAGGUUUAAGCAUGGGGGAGUUGAUACGUCUCCAACGUAUCUACUUUUUCAAACACUUUUGCCCGUGUUUUGGACUCUAAUUUGCAUGAUUUGAAUGAAACUAACCCGGACUGACGCUGUUUUCAGCAGAAUUGCCAUGAUGUUGUUUUAUGUGUAGAAAAGAAAAGUUCUCAGAAUGUCCUGAAAAUCGACGGAAGCACUUUUUGGAAUUAAUAAGAAAUUCUGGGCGAAAGAAAUACAUCAGGGGGCCCAGGGCCUGUCCAUGAGACAGGGGGAGCCCCCCUGUAGGGCGGCCCCCCUAUCUCGUGGCCCCCCUGGACCUCCACCGACCUCAACUCCAACUCCAUAGAUUCCGUAUCGCGGAAAAAAAAUCACAGAGAAAGUUUCAUCGCGUUUUACGACACGGAGCCGCCGCCAAGCCCUAAUCUCUCUCGGGAGGGCUGAUUUGGAGUCCGUUUGGGGCUCCAGAGAGGGGGAUUCGUCGUCGUCGUCAUCAUCAACCAUCCUCUAUCACCAAUUUCAUGAUGCUCACCGCCGUGCGUGAAUAAUUCCAUCAUAGGCUUGCUGGACGAUGAUGGGUUGGAUGAGAUUUACCAUGUAAUCAAGUUAGUUUUGUUAGGGUUUGAUCCCUAGUAUCCACUAUGUUCUGAGAUUGAUGUUGCUAUGACUUUGCUGUACUCAAUGCUUGUCACUAGGGCCAGAGUGCCAUGAUUUCAGAUCUGAACCUAUUAUGUUUUCAUGAAUAUAUGUGUGUUCUUGAUCCUAUCUUGCAAGUCUAUAGUCACCUAUUAUGUGCUAUGAUCCGACAACCCCGAAGUGACAAUAAUCGAGAUACUUUUCGAUGAUGACCGUAGUUUGAGGAGUUCAUGUAUUCACUAUGUGUUAAUGCUUUGGUCCGGUUCUUUACUAAAAGGAGGCCUUAAUAUCCCUUCGUUUCCACUAGAACCCCGCUGCCAUUGGAGGUAGGACAAAAGAUGUCAUGCAAGUUCUUUUCCAUAAGCACGUAUGACUAUUUACGGAAUACAUGCCUACAUUACAUUGAUGAACUGGAGCUAGUUCUGUGUCACCCUAUGUUAUAGCUAUUACAUGAGGAAUCGCAUCCGGCAUAAUUGUCCAUCACUGAUCCAUUGCCUACGAGCUUUUCAUAUAGUGUUGUUCGCUAAUUUACAUUUUCGUUGUUACUGUUACAAUCACUACAAAACCCAAAAAACUAUUAUCUUUACCUUUGCCACCAUUAGCUUUAUUACCAUACCACCUUUGCUACUAAGUACUUUGCCGCAGAUAGUAAGUUAUCUAGGUGUGGUUGAAUUGACAACUCAACUGCUAAUACUCAAGAAUAUUCUUUGGCUCCCCUUGUGUCGAAUCAAUAAAUUUGGGUUGUACUUCACCCUUGAAAGCUGUUAUGAUCCCCUACACUUGUGGGUUAUCACCUCCUCACAGUAGCUUCCCUGACCGUGGAGGCCUCCACUGCAAGAGUACGUGCCCCCAACACCGUCGGAGGUAGAGCUAGCCUUUUAGUGAGAACGCCCACGCCCGCGGGGAGCCGCUGCCGGUGUCGCAGCAUACUUGAGGGGGAGUCCGCGACCCCUCUUGGGCGGGGGCGAGUACGGUCCCUCCUUGGGGGCCUUUCCUUUCUCCACGGCAGAGAACCUUCUCGUCGGCGCCAUGGAUGCUCUAGCGAGGCGAUGGAGCUGGAAGAAGGAUAAGAAAUAAGCGAGAAGAUGAAGAUGGGCAGGGGGCUCCGCUCGCUCUCGCAUUUAUAGCCAAGGGGAGGGCAAAUGCCGGCCUCCCACGAUCUCGAGUAAUGAUAGUUUUCUCUCCAUGAAGUAGGCAGUUGUCAAGUGGUACGGUUGCCGAGGCAGCAUGGGGAAGAGGAGGCGCCCACGUCUUAUCAAGCGCCACACGUCAACUCGGUCCGCGGGUGGUUGGGGCCUGCGGCGUUCCGCACUUGCCCCUUGGCUUCUCCUCGAAGCCAAGUGCGAGCGUGCCUUGGCCCGUGGGCUACUGUCGGCAUUCUGGGAACCAGGGUACCUAGACUUGCAUGCCUGCGGCCCACGGCAUGGCUCCAUCGACAGCCUGGUAUGGCCCAUCUUCAACCACGACACGAGAAGACCCUCGCGAGGGGCCAAGCUUCGCGAGGCGGACGACGUCCAAAAAACAAGACCUCUUGAAGGAGCAGCCUCCCCAGGCUGCCUCCUGAGUAGCGGAUAUUUCCAUGCAAACACUCACCUCAUGAGGCUGAGGUGACGCCAGCCAUGACGACCAAGCCCAGGCACACGCCAUCGGGCGCAGAGCGGCAGCUUUCCUCUUUGGUGCUAAGGAGGCAAUCACAGGUGUAGAGUCCGAAGAAAUCAGCCAAAGGAUUGUCGUUUGCAUGCAACAAGACUAGGACAGCCAGAACGGCAGGAUGGACGUCAUCAUCGAGCCCACCACGACGUCACGAUCAGAAGCUUUGCAGCGAAGACCACCUUUCGUUAGGAUCAGAUGUACUACUUAUCCCCUUUAAAAGUUGUCCACUGUGGGAUCCCUUCCCACCUAGGUUUUGGGGGAAGAGUACCGAGGCCAUUAUAAAUAUUGGCUAGCCACCACCACAGAAGGGAUCGGACCCCCGGAGACUAAAUCCCUAGAGCUCAUCACAAGAACAAGCUUCCUGAGGUUGUUCUUCCCCUUGUACUAGUUCAUCCUCAGCCCUCGCGAGGCUAAUCCACCACAAAGCAGGAGUAGGGUUUUACACCGCAAUGUGGCCCGAACCUGGGUAAACUGGGCCGUGUCCAUUUCCUUCCCAUUAAUCGAGCUAGGUCGUGAGAGCAGCGAGUCGAUCGGUUUGAGAGGUUGAGUUCUUCACACACACCCCUGAGCUCGAACCUUUCUUGGGUCCUGUGGAGCCCGGAAUCCAACACCAGUUCUUCAUUAGUCGGGUCGAAGGUGAGGCGUUGUCCGGAAGCGUAAGAUGAUUUCCGAGGGGGGAGGAAGGACCAGAGGGACUACAUUCCCGGGCAGCUUCACGGAAAGUGGGAUGAAUGGAGGGGGGCCUGGUGCUGUAUCCAGGAGGAGAACUUCCCGACAUUCUGCUUGCCGCGCACGGAGAGGAUUGUGCACAACGACGGUUGGAAGAAAUACGGAGCCGGUGAUAAGAAGCUCAGCCCAAUUCUAAACAGGAUUGCUCGCUUGCGGGCCGGCCUGAACAUAGAUAUGGUCGGAGAUGACUUUCUACGAUGCUGCAUCACCCCCCUGCAACAGAGGGUCGGGCCAACGUGGUUGGACCAGAAUGCCGGGGAUAAGAUGCUUCUAUUCCGAGGCCGUGGCUGUAACUUGACGUUCCUAGGCUACUCCUGGCUCUGCCAGCAGCUGUUCUACAAGUUGGACACUUUCCACUUGCCACCACGGUCAUACCUCUGCACAUCAACUCAGAGAGGAGCGUCAUCCUGGCAUGGAUGCCAGAUUGUUCUGCCACAGGAGUCAAGGAGAGCUGGAAGUUGCCCAAGCUGGCGGAUGAGGACAAAUAGGCCUUGGAGCUAAAUGAGGAUGCCGAGUAGGAGGAUGAUGAUCUCGUCAAGGCCACCAAAGUAGAAGAGCAAGCAUAUAUUGCCAGCAGGACCAUAGAAACCCAUAGAUUGGAAGCUGCGAGGGCCGCAAACGUUGCUAAGAGUAUUGGAGAUGAAAAGGAAGAGGAAGAAGAAGAGGAAUACGAUGAUGACGACGAGGAGGGUGAUUAGGAGGGGCAGGAGGAGCUUGGAGGAGACAAGGCUGCCAGGACAGAGACAGCGGGAAAACCUGAGGAAGAGGAAUUCCAGGUGUUGGAGCCACUGCGGUGUCUUCGCACCAGGAGAAGCCAAGAGCGUGUGGUCGCUCCCCCGCCUCGAUCCAUCGCUCGGCCGAGGAAAUCCACCAUCAAAACUGGGAAGCAGGAGGUGAUACACCGGUAGUCUACACGGUUGGUCAACCUCAAGCCCUCGUCCUCCCAGGAAGAACUUUCCGGGGAAGAUGAAAUCUUGCUCCCGCCAAGCUCACCCCCGCCAGCUAUCAAGAGAGCCAGCGAGUUCCCACCGUCGCCUCAGUACAAAAUGAGCGUCCUUCUCGAGUCUAAAGAUGAAGAAUAAGUGAUUUCCUGUCUUCUUCCCGUUAUGUCCCAAUCCAUCUCUCUUGUCAAUACUGAUCUGGUUCUUCUGCUGUUUCAGGGACGAGGAGCUUCUUAUCCUUCGGACGAAGCAUCCCAAGCCAUCGGCGGACCAUGGCUCACCGUCAAGGGCCAGGCUGGAAAUGCCAACAGCUGAUACGGCAGCCACAAGCCCCCAGGCUAACCCCCCUCCUCAAUAUGUGCUGUCAUCCCAGGCGGCCGUUCUUGAUGUUGAGGUUCGCCUUUUCGGGGACGACAAGGAAAUGGGAGGGGAGCAUCAAUGCAAGGAGCUUCAAGGAGAAGAUCCCGCCAAGGGGCCCCGUUCAACCGCAUUCCUGGAAAAGCUUCUUCGACAAGGGCCUCCACUUAUGAUUUUGUCCAUAUCGAUGUUUCCUCGAUGACAGAGAAUGUCGAGGAACGUGUGCCGACAACGCAUGCUGACGGGGGAGGGGAUGCUCCUUCCCAACAAGUGCACCUUGGUAAUUCUCUUGCCAUAGAGUUAUUUCCAUGAGAAAUUUCCUUGGUUUCUAUCUAUGAUUUGAACCUUCUUUUUUUCUUGUGUCUUGGUUUUCAGCUCCAACUUCUCCCGUGGGAGGUGAAGAGCUCGCCGAGGAAGCCGGUAUUGCCAAGGCUGCCACCGAGGAGGCCUCCCAGAUUGUCGCCAUGGAGAACCCUGAGCAAACUUAAGGGGGCAACUGAGAGGCCCACACAGCGACUGAAGAAGCUUCCGGCAGCGAAUUUGAGCCCUCCAAGAUGGAUGUGAACAAGAACGUUGAUACACAAGAUAAGCACAAGCCCUUGAGAGCAAUCUGCUUGGCAGAACAAUUAAUUAACCUCUAGAAGCAGAAGAAGCACAUUGAUAGACAAGUUAUUAUGAAGAACCAAGCUUGAGAGCGGUCUACUUGCGCAAGAUAUCAUUGGACUUGAACAUGACUGCGGAAAUCUAGAUCAUGAUGAAGAAACCUACACAAUAUAAACUCAAUUGGAAUGAGGAACUUGCCAUCAUCUUCUCACUAAGAGGCAUCAAGUACCUAGACAAAAAACUAAGAGCAUAAUAAGAUACAAUGUAUGCCGGUGGACAUGUUUAACAGCAAGAAAACUACCCCAUGAAUAGCAUAGUUAAAUGUGAUUCCUCCUAGUAGUAUGUGUUCUAUUAUUCAUAGUGAUGAGAGCCCGAGACUAUGCCAAUAAUGUCUAGAAAGAAAAGGCCUCCAAAAUGUAGCAUUAUUUCAGUAGCAAUAUUUUCUUUUUGAAAAUAGGUUUAUCCGAGGAGCAUUGACCUUUGUCACAUACUGUAAUACAGGCACUUCAUUUGUUUUUAAGAAACUUGAGAUUACUGCUGGUGCUAAAACAAAGCCCACCAAAAUCCUCUUUCAACUAAAAUACCAAUUCACGUACUAGCUAGCAUCACUAAUUAAGCAAAUAGAUUUAUCACUUGUAGCAGCACUGACCAAAUUGCCAUGGCAGGAGAACCCCAGCCAUAUGAGUACCCUGUCUUAAAUCUAGACUGUACCAAUUGUGCAACUGACAUUGAGAUUUCAGAGGGCGGGCGCCGCAGAACGGCAAGUGCUAUACCUUCACAUUGGGGUCCCUGAGGUUGGCAUGCAGCCACUCGGCGGAAGCAACAGGCUCGGUCUGUGGCACUGCGUGGACAACGCCCGACGCGGCGUUGGUGGCGGCAGCCUCCGAGACGACCGGCGACGGGGCGUUGAAGCGUGCGGCGAUCCCGAACCGUGUCAUCCCUGAUUCCAGUACUAUGGGUGGGUUCAUCCUCCUGGUUUUCGUCGCCGUCGAGGUACUCAUCCUCUCGUUGUCGUCCUACUGCUGCUCCAAAUCGAAGCACACAUGCAUCAUACAUACAUACAUACAAGACCAAAUAUGAUUUGAAAUAGAUAGAACCAAAGUGCAACUAGCCUAGUAUAUAUAUGACCUCAGCAUGAACCAGAGUUAUAUAACAAGUAGUCCUACACAAGACCGUACAGUCCGGUGGUAUCAAGCACUAAACCAAACCUCAUCACACACCCAUCGACCUAGUUUGGUUUCACAACCAGCAGCAUAGAAACGAACUAGGCUACAAUAGAGCAAUGUUUGCAGGGAAAUAACCAACCUCACAGUGAGGGUCGCGGUGGAUGACCUCACAGGUAAUCUGAAACCAUGCAUGUGACAUUGAAAAUUAAUGCCCAAGCCAUUGUUUUAAAGGCGUCCAUAUCUCGUCGCUAUAACGGAUGCCAUACAGACCCAGGCUCACAAUACCUUUAUGGCGUCACUAUAUCGUCGCUAUAAUGGUAUAAAGGGGGUCGCUCGCCAUAAAACGCAAUACGCCAUUAAAACAAUGGCCUGAGCAUUACGAAUCACAAGCCAAUUCUUUUCUUUGAAACUAAAAUGAAUAGGUGGGCAUGUAUCGCAAACCGACUCCUUGAAAAGACAAGCUAAUGUCUGGACAUUAUGAAUCAUAAACCAAUUCUUUUUGUUUCAUAGCCACAACUAGCAGUUCAUGAUCGAAACAAAUCAUGUGAAAGUUAGUCUGGAUAUCAAAAAAAUAGCAAAGAUAAUAGCUAGUAGCAUUGUCCAGAAGCAUGUGUAUGUGUGACAACAGAAGCAACCAUUUUUAGAAAAAAUUAAACCAAUCCAAAAUGUUAAUCAAUUAAGCAGCUCUCUGGUUCGCACAACAUAUAGGAGGGUAGUGGUCUACUAUGUUUAGAACUAGAGCCCCAUAGACAUGCAUGUAUCUAAAUUUAGAAACAAGAUUAGCUCACUUGAUCUGCAUUAUUUAUCACACAGAAGUUAAACAAGCAACCAGCCAUAGUAAUCAAACAGAGGAGAACACCAUUGGUAUUCAACAUGCUGUAAAGAAAUCUACUCUGGAAUCAGAGAGCAUGCAACAUAAAGAAAUUAAACAAGGAACAUUCAAACCUCCAUGGACAUGCAGAUCGCCCCACAUCCCUUGCCCUUCUUCUGGUCUUUCUCCUCCUUCCUCACUCCCUUCUACUAGUUUUCUCUGGACACAGAAAGCACCAAAUUAAUGCCCCUAAAAACAAACCCUGUCAGAUCAGAAAUUGCACAAGGGAAAAAGGAAAAAAUUUCCCAAAUUGAAAGAAACAGGGGGGUGAGAGAGGGAGAGAGGCGAGAUGGGGGAGGAGGACCUUGGCUGCCAUUGCGUGGUGGUGGAUAAGGCCCUCCUCUGCCUCUGCCUUGUGGUGGAGAAGCGGCGUCCAGCAGGCACAACCGCAUGAGGAGCCAUGCGAGGAGGCGUAGAGGACCGCCGGAGGCACGCCGGUGGCGGAGAUGAGGCCGCACACCAAACCCUAGCUGGAGAGGGAUGGGUUGGGCGCGAGCGUUCGAGGGAGGGAGGGACGGAUCUGGCCAGAGGAAUCGAUGCAGCGGGGUGGGGUGAGCUUGGUAGCGUGUUGCGCGCCGACCAUGGCCGUCGUAGCUCGCCGGAAUAAGGUCGGUGGCGGUGGCGGCGGAGGCGGUUGUGGCUAAUCCUAGGGCGCGGGAGAGCAGAGAGGAGAUGCGGGUGCGGGUGCGGGGGCAGUGGGUUC